rnacentral:rRNA from 1 species
GAUCCUGGCUCAGGAUAAACGCUAGCGGCAGGCCUAACACAUGCAAGUCGAGGGGCAGCGUGACGGGUAGCAAUACCUGUUGACGGCGACCGGCGCACGGGUGCGUAACGCGUAUGUAACCUACCGUUCACAGGGGGAUAGUCAGAGGAAACUUUGAAUAAUACCGCAUAAAACAAGGGGUCCGGGCAUCGGGAGUAUUUGUUUAAAGGUUAGGCGGACACGGUGAACGAUGGGCAUGCGUUCGAUUAGAUAGUUGGUGAGG